UACGUAGGGGGGCUAGCGUUGUCCGGAUUUAUUGGGCGUAAAGAGCGUGUAGGCGGCCAUGUAGGUCCGGUGUGAAAACUCGAGGCUUAACCUCGAGAUGUCAUCGGAAACCAUUUGGCUAGAGUCCGGAAGAGGAGAGUGGAAUUCCUGGUGUAGCGGUGAAAUGCGCAGAUAUCAGGAAGAACACCAAUGGCGAAAGCAGCUCUCUGGGACGGUACUGACGCUGAGACGCGAAAAGCGUGGGGGAGCGAACAGG
rnacentral:rRNA from 1 species